rnacentral:lncRNA from 1 species
AUUUUUUCCCCACCUGAGUUACAAAUUUUUUUUUUUUGAAACAGUCUCGCUCUGUCACCCAGGCUGGAGUGCAGUGGUGCGAUCUUGGCUCACUGCCAGCUCCACCUCUAGGGUUUUUAAGCAAUUCUCUGCCCCAGCCGCCCGAGUAGCUGGGAUUACAGGUGUGCACCACCACGCCCAGCUAAUUUUUUAAACUUUUAGUAGAGAUGGGGUUUCACCAUGCUGGCCAGGAUAGUCUUGAACUCCUGUCCUUCUGAUCCACCCACCUCGACCUCCCAAAGUGCAGGGAUUACAUGUGUGAGCCACUGCGCCUGGCCCCAGCCUGGAAAUAUUUUCUAAUUUCCCAUUUGAGUUCUUCUUUGACCCAUGGUUUAUUCAAUAGUGGGUUAAUUUCCAAACAUUUGAGUUUUUCCUAUUUUAUUUGUGGUUGAUUUCUAAUUUAAUUCCUCUGUGCUCAGAAAGCAUACUUUGUAUGAUUCUUUUAAAAUUCGUUGGAACUUGUUUUAGGACACAGCAGUUGGUCUGUGUUGGAAAAUGUAUCAUGUGCACUUAGGAGUAUUGGCGUAACUUUUUCUUUUUGUUUUUGAGAAGAGUUUUGCUCUUCUUGCCCAGGCUGGGGUGCAGUGGCACGAUCUCGGGUCACUCCGUCUUUUGGGUUCACACCAUUCUCCUGCCUCAGCCUCCCGAGGAGCUGGGAUUACAGCUGCCCGCCACCACGUCCAGCGAAUUUUUGUAUUUUUAGUAUAGAUGGGGUUUCGCCAUGUUGGCUAGGUCGGUCCUGAACUUCUGACCUCAGGUGAUCCACCCGACUCGGGCUCCCAAAGUGCCUGGAUUACAAGCUUGAGCCCCCAUGUGCAGCCUGAUAUGUGUAACUUCCUAUAAAUACCAUUCAGGUCAACAUGAUGAUACUGUUACUCAGAUCCCCCAUGUCUUCACUGAUGUGUUUGGUUUAUUGUUCCAAGAAUCGGAGACAGAGAGGUUAAAAUCUCCGACUAUGAUUGUGGGUUGUCUAUUGAUGUUUUUGGUCUAUUCUAAGAAUCGGAGAGAGAGAGGUUAAAAUCUCCGACUAUGAUUGUGUAUUGUCUAUUGAUGUUUUUGGUCUAUUGUUCUAAGAAAUGGAGAGAGAGAGGUUAAAAUCUCCGACUAUGAUUGUGGGUUGUCUAUUGAUGUUUUUGGUCUAUUGUUCUAAGAAUUGGAGAGAGAGAGGUUAAAAUCUCCGACUAUGAUUGUGGAUUGUCUAUUGCUGUUUUUGGUCUAUUGUUCUAAGAAUCGGAGAGAGAGAGGUUAAAAUCUCCAACUAUGAUUGUGGGUUGUCUAUAUAUGUAUGGUUUUUGCAGUCACUUUCUGCCUACUUGUGUUUUUUAUAUUUAAAGUGCAUCUUUUAGUUCAGUGUGAUGGCACAUGCCCCUAAUCCCAGCUAUUCUGGAGACUGAGGCAGGAGGAUCACUUGAGCCCAGGAGUUUGAGCAGUACUAGACUUUACCUUGGGCAAAAAGGCAAGACCCCAUCUCUUAAAAAACAAAUACAUAGACGGACAGACAGACACACACACCACAGUGCAUCUUUUGUAGACAGCAUGUAGUAAAUCUUGCUAAUUUGUCCAUUUUAGCAAUCUCUGCCUUUUAACUGGAGGGUUUAAUUCAUUAAUAUUUAAUAUAAUUAUCAUUAUGGGUAGAUGUAGGUAUGUUAAUAUUUAAUAUAAUUACUGUUAUGGGUAGAUGUAGGUAUGUUAAUCGUUUUCUGAUUGUCCCUUUGUAUACACACGCUGCCCUUUAUUUUUCAGUGAUUUUAGGUUCAUAGCAAAAUUGAGCAGUUAAGUACAAGGAGUUGUGCCUCCCCGCUGUGCCCACCCAGGCACAGCCUUACCCUCAGCAUCCC